rnacentral:rRNA from 1 species
GACGAACGCUGGCGGCGUGCCUAAUACAUGCAAGUAGAACGCACAGUUUAUACCGUAGCUUGCUACACCAUAGACUGUGAGUUGCGAACGGGUGAGUAACGCGUAGGUAACCUGCCUGGUAGCGGGGGAUAACUAUUGGAAACGAUAGCUAAUACCGCAUAAUAUUGAUUAUUGCAUGAUAAUUGAUUGAAAGAUGCUAUUGCAUCACUACCAGAUGGACCUGCGUUGUAUUAGCUAGUAGGUGAGGUAACGGCUCACCUAGGCGACGAUACAUAGCCGACCUGAGAGGGUGAUCGGCCACACUGGGACUGAGACACGGCCCAGACUCCUACGGGAGGCAGCAGUAGUGAAUCUUCGGCAAUGGACGAAAGUCUGACCGAGCAACGCCGCGUGAGUGAAGAAGGUUUUCGGAUCGUAAAGCUCUGUUGUAAGAGAAGAACGGGUGUGAGAGUGGAAAGUUCACACUGUGACGGUAUCUUACCAGAAAGAGACGGCUAACUACGUG